AGAGUUUGAUCCUGGCUCAGGAUGAACGCUAGCGGCAGGCUUAACACAUGCAAGUCGAGGGGCAGCGGGGAGGAAGCUUGCUUUCUCCGCCGGCGACCGGCGCACGGGUGAGUAACACGUAUGCAACCUGCCCCUGUCAGGGGGACAACCCGCCGAAAGGCGGGCUAAACCCGCGUACAUGCCACCGGGGCAUCCCGGAGGCAGGAAAGGCUUCGGCCGGACAGGGAUGGGCAUGCGGCGCAUUAGGCAGUAGGCGGGGUAACGGCCCACCUAACCGACGAUGCGUAGGGGUUCUGAGAGGAAGGUCCCCCACACUGGUACUGAGACACGGACCAGACUCCUACGGGAGGCAGCAGUGAGGAAUAUUGGUCAAUGGUCGGGAGACUGAACCAGCCAAGCCGCGUGAGGGAUGAAGGUACAGAGUAUCGUAAACCUCUUUUGUCAGGGAACAAAGGCGGGGACGCGUCCCCGGAUGAGUGUACCUGAAGAAAAAGCAUCGGCUAACUCCGUGCCAGCAGCCGCGGUAAUACGGAGGAUGCGAGCGUUAUCCGGAUUUAUUGGGUUUAAAGGGUGCGCAGGCGGUCUGUUAAGUCAGCGGUCAAAGCCCGGGGCUCAACCCCGGCCCGCCGUUGAAACUGGCAGUCUCGAGUUGGAGAGAAGUAUGCGGAAUGCGCGGUGUAGCGGUGAAAUGCAUAGAUAUCGCGCAGAACUCCGAUUGCGAAGGCAGCAUGCCGGCUCCACACUGACGCUGAGGCACGAAAGCGUGGGUAUCGAACAGGAUUAGAUACCCUGGUAGUCCACGCAGUAAACGAUGAAUGCUGGCUGUCCGGGGGGACUGACCCCUGGGUGGCGAAGCGAAAGCGAUAAGCAUUCCACCUGGGGAGUACGCCGGCAACGGUGAAACUCAAAGGAAUUGACGGGGGCCCGCACAAGCGGAGGAACAUGUGGUUUAAUUCGAUGAUACGCGAGGAACCUUACCCGGGCUCAAACGGGGAGUGACUCAGGCAGAGACGCCUGUUUCCCACGGGACACUCCCCGAGGUGCUGCAUGGUUGUCGUCAGCUCGUGCCGUGAGGUGUCGGCUUAAGUGCCAUAACGAGCGCAACCCCCGCGUGCAGUUGCUAACAGAUAACGCUGAGGACUCUGCACGGACUGCCGGCGCAAGCCGCGAGGAAGGCGGGGAUGACGUCAAAUCAGCGCGGCCCUUACGUCCGGGGCGACACACGUGUUACAAUGGGUGGUACAGCGGGAAGCCAGGCGGCGACGCCGAGCGGAACCCGAAAUCCACUCUCAGUUCGGAUCGGAGUCUGCAACCCGACUCCGUGAAGCUGGAUUCGCUAGUAAUCGCGCAUCAGCCAUGGCGCGGUGAAUACGUUCCCGGGCCUUGCACACACCGCCCGUCAAG
rnacentral:rRNA from 1 species